GACGAACGCUGGCGGCGUGCUUAACACAUGCAAGUCGAACGAAGAGCGAUGGAAGCUUGCUUCUAUCAAUCUUAGUGGCGAACGGGUGAGUAACGCGUAAUCAACCUGCCCUUCAGAGGGGGACAACAGUUGGAAACGACUGCUAAUACCGCAUACGAUCUAACCUCGGCAUCGAGGAAAGAUGAAAGGUGGCCUCUAUGUAUAAGCUAUCACUGAAGGAGGGGAUUGCGUCUGAUUAGCUAGUUGGAGGGGUAACGGCCCACCAAGGCGAUGAUCAGUAGCCGGUCUGAGAGGAUGAACGGCCACAUUGGGACUGAGACACGGCCCAGACUCCUACGGGAGGCAGCAGUGGGGAAUCUUCCGCAAUGGACGAAAGUCUGACGGAGCAACGCCGCGUGAGUGAUGACGGCCUUCGGGUUGUAAAGCUCUGUUAAUCGGGACGAAAGGCCUUCUUGCGAAUAGUUAGAAGGAUUGACGGUACCGGAAUAGAAAGCCACGGCUAACUACGUGCCAGCAGCCGCGGUAA
rnacentral:rRNA from 1 species